rnacentral:rRNA from 1 species
UGGGGAAUUUUUGGCAAUGGGCGAAAGCCUGACCAAGCAACGCCGCGUGGAUGAUGAAGUCUCUUGGGACGUAAAAUCCUUUCGACAGGGAAGAAACCCGCAAGGGUUGACGGUACCUGUAGAAGAAGCCCCGGCUAACUCCGUGCCAGCAGCCGCGGUAAUACGGGGGGGGCAAGCGUUGUUCGGAAUUACUGGGCGUAAAGGGCGCGUAGGCGGUCCGCUAAGUUGGAUGUGAAAACUCUGGGCUUAACCCAGAGCCUGCAUCCAAAACUGGCGGGCUAGAGUUCUGGAGGGGAUAGCGGAAUUCCUGGUGUAGCGGUGAAAUGCGUAGAUAUCAGGAGGAACACCGGUGGCGAAGGCGGCUAUCUGGACAGAGUCUGACGCUGAGGCGCGAAAGCUAGGGGAGCAAACAG